rnacentral:rRNA from 1 species
UCGGGAAUUUUGGGCAAUGGGCGAAAGCCUGACCCAGCAACGCCGCGUGAAGGAUGAAGUAUUUCGGUAUGUAAACUUCGAAAGAAUAGGAAGAAUAAAUGACGGUACUAUUUAUAAGGUCCGGCUAACUACGUGCCAGCAGCCGCGGUAAUACGUAGGGACCAAGCGUUGUUCGGAUUUACUGGGCGUAAAGGGCGCGUAGGCGGCAAUUCAAGUCAUCUGUGAAAUCUCCGGGCUUAACUCGGAACGGUCAGAUGAUACUGCUUUGCUAGAGUGCAGAAGGGGCAAUCGGAAUUCUUGGUGUAGCGGUGAAAUGCGUAGAUAUCAAGAGGAACACCUGAGGUGAAGACGGGUUGCUGGGCUGACACUGACGCUGAGGCGCGAAAGCCAGGGGGAGCAAACGGGGAUUAGAUACCC